AUUGAACGCUGGCGGAAUGCUUUACACAUGCAAGUCGAGCGGCAGCGCGGGGCAACCUGGCGGCGAGCGGCGAACGGGUGAGUAAUGCAUCGGAACAUGUCCAUGUCGUGGGGGAUAGCCCGGCGAAAGCCGGAUUAAUACCGCAUACGCCCGAGAGGGGAAAGUGGGGGACCGCAAGGCCUCACGCGAUUGGGUUGUCCGAUGUCCGAUUAGCUAGUUGGUGGGGUAAAGGCUUACCAAGGCGAUGAUCGGGAGCUGGUCUGAGAGGAUGAUCAGCCACACUGGGACUGAGACACGACCCAGACUCCUACGGUAGGCAGCAGUGGUGAAUUGUGUACAAUGGGGGCAAACCUGAUCCAGCCAUUCCGCGUGAGUGAAGAAGGCCUUCGGGUUGUAAAGCUCUUUUGUCCGGAGCGAAACGGUUGCGGUGAAUAUCCGCGACUACUGACGGUACCGGAAGAAUAAGCACCGGCUAACUACGUGCCAGCCGCCGCAGUAA
rnacentral:rRNA from 1 species